GUGCUUGCUUCGGCAGCACAUAUACUAAAAUUGGAACGAUACAGAGAAGAUUAGCGUGGCCCCUGCUCAAGGAUGGCAUGCAAAUUCAUGAAGUGUUCCAUAUUUUU
rnacentral:snRNA from 1 species